ACGGAAGGCAGCAGUGGGGAAUAUUGCACAAUGGGGGAAACCCUGAUGCAGCGACGCCGCGUGAGUGAAGAAGUAUCUCGGUAUGUAAAGCUCUAUCAGCAGGGAAGAAAAUGACGGUACCUGACUAAGAAGCCCCGGCUAAAUACGUGCCAGCAGCCGCGGUAAUACGUAUGGAACAAGCGUUAUCCGGAUUUACUGGGUGUAAAGGGUGUGUAGGCGGUAAGGUAAGUCAGAAGUGAAAUGCCGGGGCUCAACUCCGGAGCUGCUUUUGAAACUGCAUUACUUGAGUCCAGGAGAGGCAGGCGGAAUUCCUAGUGUAGCGGUGAAAUGCGUAGAUAUUAGGAAGAACACCAGUGGCGAAGGCGGCCUGCUGGACUGGAACUGACGCUGAGGCACGAAAGCGUGGGGAGCAAACAGGAUUAGAUACCCUGGUA
rnacentral:rRNA from 1 species